rnacentral:rRNA from 1 species
AUGAACGCUGACAGAAUGCUUAACACAUGCCCGUCUUUGGCGAAGCUGUGCUUGCACAGCCUAGCCAAGGCGGACGGGUGAGUAACGCGUAAGGAACUUGCCCUGCAGUCAGGGAUAACAGACGGAAACGACUGAUAAGACCUGGUAAAGUCAGGCGGACUCAUGUCCAGCCUGAUGAAAAGAGAUGCUGCAGGAGAGCCUUGCGUCCUAUUAGCUUGUUGGUGGGGUAACGGCCCACCAAGGCGAUGAUAGGUAGCCGGCCUGAGAGGGUGGACGGCCACAAGGGGACUGAGAUACGGCCCUUACUCCUACGGGAGGCAGCAGUGGGGAAUAUUGGACAAUGGGGGCAACCCUGAUCCAGCAAUUCUGUGUGCACGAUGAAGGUUUUCGGAUUGUAAAGUGCUUUCAGCAGGGAAGAAAAAAUGACGGUACCUGCAGAAGAAGCGACGGCUAAAUACGUG